GAUGAACGCUGGCGGCGUGCCUAAUACAUGCAAGUCGAGCGAACAGAUAAGGAGCUUGCUCCUUUGACGUUAGCGGCGGACGGGUGAGUAACACGUGGGUAACCUACCUAUAAGACUGGGAUAACUUCGGGAAACCGGAGCUAAUACCGGAUAACAUUUGGAACCGCAUGGUUCUAAAGUGAAAGAUGGUUUUGCUAUCACUUAUAGAUGGACCCGCGCCGUAUUAGCUAGUUGGUAAGGUAACGGCUUACCAAGGCGACGAUACGAAGCCGACCUGAGAGGGUGAUCGGCCACACUGGAACUGAGACACGGUCCAGACUCCUACGGGAGGCAGCAGUAGGGAAUCUUCCGCAAUGGGCGAAAGCCUGACGGAGCAACGCCGCGUGAGUGAUGAAGGGUUUCGGCUCGUAAAACUCUGUUAUUAGGGAAGAACAAAUGUGUAAGUAACUGUGCACGUCUUGACGGUACCUAAUCAGAAAGCCACGGCUAACUACGUG
rnacentral:rRNA from 1 species